GGUGGCUCCGCACCUCGGGCUCGGGGCCGCGGCUCAGAGCCUGGCUCCCCACCCCGGCAGAACAGAUCCACGGAGACCGCCGCCAGGAGUGCCGCGCGGGUAGGACCCGGGGGCGGAGGACUGGGGCCGAGAGGCCGGGGAGCCCCCCCCCACCCAUUAAGGACUGCGGAGGCUGUCGAGGAGGGUUACCCAUUUUACAGCAAGACGCACGGAGGCUAAAAUGCUUCACCCCGACUAAAACUCCCUGGACUUUGAAGCCCAAUAGGCAGCUACCGGAUCUGCGUCCCACUUGGUUUAAAGCGCAACUUUUAAAUGAAAGAAGAAAACCCCGGUUGACAUAAGGGAUUUGGAGAGGACGGCGGAGGCGCGCUCAUCUCCCGCGUGCGGCCCGACCCGAGCGUUCGCGGACGCAUCGCGGAAUCCCCGAGCGUCCGGCUCCUCCCGAAGCGGGUUGCGGGGAAGGCGGGGGGCUGCGGGUCCUGGAAGCUGCCUGGGGCAAGCAAGCACCCGCAGGGAUUUAGAGCUGUGCCACAGCCCCUGCCCAGCCUCCUACGGAGGACAGCGGGGGGCGGGGGGCAGAGACCUUAGAGCUUUCAGAAAAGUGACACACACCCCCGCCUCCUGCGGGGAACCACGGGGGGCCGGGGGCAGCUUUAGGUUUGCGUGACGGGUACACCUGCCUCCGGAUGGGGCACAGGGAUAAAGGGGGUGGAGGCUUAGGACUUGGCGACCCCCCGCAUGGGCGGGGCUUUGGGACUGUGCCACCAGCGGCUGGGAAGGGCGCGCACUCCCUUGGUGGCGCUCGGGGCGCCGGAGUCCAGUGCAGCCCUUAGGCCUCCCAGUGGUCGGGGACGGUAGGUGGGGGUCGCCUCUUCUCUCCUAGAAGGGCUUCUCCUGGGGCCGGUCGGAGCGGUGGGGGUGGGAGUAAUGCGCAGUCACCCCUAGAACGGGUCUUUUUGGCAAGGGAGGGUCGGAUCCUGCAGCCAAAUCUCUGAGCUGAGCUGAGAUGAGUCCAGUCUCAACGAGGACCGUGGGCGGCUGUGGAGAACCGGAAGGGUUUCUCCCCCGGAGCGAUGUGUCUGUGUGUGUGUCACACGCAUACUCAGCCAACUUCGCUCAAAGCUGCUGAAACAGUGUCUUUGUGCUGAAGCCCAAUGUGAGCAUUUUCUUCCCAGUAGCAAGGAUUUGAACACGUUAUAUUGAUCUAAAAGGUGGAGUUGCUUUGGAACCUUUUAAUUCGAGGUUUCCACUGGAGAGUCCUGUUGGGAAAUGUGUGUGUGGAGGGAGGGGAGGAAGGAGAAAAGUCCGUCUCCUUAAUGUGAGCGGUCCAGGACCUCCCCACCCGCCAUAUACCCUUCCACUGGGAUUUUUCCGGGAAGGAUGAAAGGACAGGAGUUCUGGGGCCGGAAGGCAGGGCGGGUCCCUGAGCCCGGAGCCUCCCAGUGGAAGGCUACUGGGCGGACCUGAAGGGGACCCAGGCAGGAGGAAAAACCAGAGAACCCCAGGAGUGCCUGUUUUGCAAUAAGGCUUUAAGCAGAGUGGGUUGGGUUUAAAUAAACAAAACUCAGCUGCAGCCAGUGGGUUCAGGUGUGGGCCUGCUUUUCUGGAAUAAGGCACCUGCAGGCUGCGAGGUAACCACAGGGACUGCCCAACACCUAGGGACAGGGGAGGAUGGAUGAAUCUCACUAACAGGAUGUCCAGCAAAGACAAAAGAUCAUUCCAUUCACGCUUAGACCGACAGCAAGCCCGACUCCACCAUAACGUUUAGAGGUGUGCACAAAUAGGGGAAAGAUGAAGAAAAACAAGGAGGUGAUUAUGGGCACAUUCAGGAGGGCUCUGGGGGAGGAGGGGCAUCCCCUUCUGGACCUGAGGGUUACCAGAGUGUCGGCUUCAUGAUCACACUUUGAACUCCAAAC
rnacentral:lncRNA from 1 species